UACGUAGGGGGCAAGCGUUGUCCGGAUUUAUUGGGCGUAAAGAGCGUGUAGGCGGCUAGAUAGGUCCGUUGUGAAAACUCGAGGCUCAACCUCGAGACGUCGAUGGAAACCAUCUGGCUAGAGUCCGGAAGAGGAGAGUGGAAUCCGUGGUGUAGCGGUGAAAUGCGCAGAUAUCAGGAAGAACACCCGUGGCGAAGGCGGCUCUCUGGUACGUGACUGACGCUGAGACGCGAAAGCGUGGGGAGCAAACAGG
rnacentral:rRNA from 1 species